rfam:Brassica napus, WGS project CCCW01000000 data, contig: 5494
GGAAUAUAAGAAACAAUCUUUUAACUUUUAACUAAAAAAACCAAGAAUCGAUUCUUAAAUAAGAUAUUUAAGAAUCGGUUCUUAUCUUUUUUAGUUAAAAGUUAAGAGACGGUUUCUUAUAUUCC